GUACUUCAUCAAUGCUCAAGACCCUAUGACUUGUCUUGUUCUUCGGGACUUGAUGAGACUUAGACUUGAGUUUGAAAGGUAA
rnacentral:sRNA from 1 species